GUGUAAAAUGAUUAAUUAAUAACUAAUCGAUUAUGAUGAUGAAUAUGACAAGAUGCAAAGAGGAAAGAAAUUAUAUAGUUUAAAAUAUCAAACUAAUCAUUAUUACGUGACAUAUUAUUACAUGGAAAGAGGGUCAAAUCAUUACAAUUAUAUAUAAUUGUAACCAUUUAGUCUUACAAUAGUGGUGGAAAUUGACAAUUUUCACAAGGUUUGGGGGGUGCCAUGGUCUUAGUGUGGCUCCGCCAGUGGGCGUGAUGCAUCAUUGCAUCCUUCCAAUUAAGUUAUCGAACAGAUAAUUGAGAUUGAGACCAUAUAUAGUGUAGAGAAGAAUCUGCAAUCCUUCUCCUGAUUGGACCACUCUUAUUUUCACCACAUAUCUUAUGUGAGAUCAACCACAUAGGCAUAAUCACACUUGCAUGCAGAGAAGAAGAUAUCUAAUGAAUCUGCUGCUCAUAAUGGCGAAGCUGAUCAACAAUGACACCCUAUCAAUACUAGUUAUAAUUUUCUUCAUUAUUCUUCUAUACAGAUGGUUUUCCAAUUCCACUUCCACCACUACAAACUCACCACCUUCUCCACCGAAACUCCCCAUCAUCGGAAACCUUCACCAACUAGGCUCACCACGGUCUCUGCUACAUCGCUCGCUUCAAGCCUUGUCUCAAGUCCAUGGCCCUCUCAUGCUCCUCCACUUCGGCAGCGUCCCCGUCCUCGUCGUCUCCUCCUCCGAGGGUGCUCAGGCAAUCAUGAAAACACAUGACCUCGCUUUCUGCAGCAGGCCCAUGUCCACCGUUUUCGCAAAGCUUCUCUACGACUCAAAAGACGUGGCCAUGGCGCCGUACGGUGAGUACUGGAGGCAGGUCAAGAGCAUCUGCGUGUUGAAUCUCUUGAGCAACAAAAGGGUUCGAUCCUUCCGCGGCGUUAGGGAAGAGGAAACUAAAGCCAUGAUCAAGCAGAUAAGGGAUUGAAAAGGAGUUGUGAAUUUAAGGGAGAUUCUUAUGACACUUACAAACGAUGUGGUCUCGAGAGUGGCUCUAGGGAAGAGUUACUACAGUGAUGGGGGUUUUUAAAGAGCUUUCGACGGAGCAUACGGAGUUGCUUGGAAGUCUAUAUAUUGGCGACUACAUUCCAUGGCUUGGUUGGUUGAGCCGUGUCACUGGUUUGGACACGAAACUAGACAGAGUGGCUAAAUGGUUUGAUGAUUUCUUGGAUGUAGUGAUUCAAAAAUUCGCUGUAGCCCACCGUAGCCCGUGUGUAGGUACGCCUUUGCAUAUGGAAAGUACCGUUAUGAAGGCGGAGGACGAAAAGGAUUUUGUGGACGUUUUACUUGAUAUUCAGCAGCAAAACUCUCUUGGUUUUCGUAUGGACAAAAUUUGCAUGAAGGGUGUCAUCUUGGAUAUGUUUCUUGCUGGAACUGAUACCAUACCUACACUCGUAGAAUGGACCAUGGCUGAGAUUAUAAGGCACCCAAAGGUCAUGAGAAAAUUGCAGGCUGAAAUUAGGGCUGUCAACAAAGGUAAAGAAGACAUAUUAACAGAGGAUGAUUUGAUCGAGAUGCACUACUUGAAGGCGGUGAUCAAAGAGCCUCUUCGCUUGCAUCCUCCACUUUCGCUAUUAGUGCCUAGGAUAUCGACCCAAGAUGUGAAACUAAAUGGUUAGUUGGUUACAACAUUAAAGCAAACACACAAGUCAUAGUGAAUGCUUGGCAAAUCGGGAGAGAUCCCAACUCGUACAGUUACAAACCGGAGGAGUUUGAGCCAGAAAGAUUCUUGAAUGCUAAUAGUGGUGUAAGUUAUAAAGGAAAUAACUUUGAGUUGAUUCCUUUCGGAGCAGGUAGGAGGAUGUGUCCCGGGAUUCAGUUUGCUAUCGCUGUUGAGGAAAUUGCUCUAGCAAAUUUAGUGCACAAGUUUGAUUGGACAUUGCCUGCCAGUGGAGUAAGAAGCGAGGAUCUAGACAUGACUGAAUCAUCUGGUAUAACAAUUCAUAAAAAGCACCCGCUUAAAGCCUUUGCCACACCACAUUCAUAAGCUUAAUCACUUCAGAUUCGAGUAUAUUGUAUAUUGAUCAAACACAUCAAUGAACUGCUUUGCUUCAGUUAAAAAGUUACUGUAUUCUACCACCCCUAGCCUAAAUAAUCAUGUUUCUGCUUCGUUUAUAUGUUUAAGGACACCCUAUGUUUAAGAACCCUAAAUAGCUAGCUUGGUUAAUUAUUGCUCAAUCUGUUUGUCAUAUGUUUAAGGACCCUAGUCCAUGUUCAGUUAUUUUGGUUUUCCCAGUCAUGGCUAUGAAAACAAAGGUGAUGAUUAUGAAUAA